AUAACGUCGAGAACGCAGAGAAAGGAAAGGACGCUAAUUUCGGUGCAAAAUCGGACAAAUAGGACCUUGCUAAUGUUAAGAGUGCUCAUAGUGGGAUCCAGUUUACCCUCAAACAUUUUAGUGCCUUAUUUAUUUUUUAAACACCAUGUUUAUUAUAAACGCACGCGAUCUAGGACGCAGUCUGAUUUUUAUUUCUGUCGUCGGGAGCAAAUCGUGGGUUUGUAGCAUCGUGUAACUUCUCUAGAGCUUCUCUUCCAUCUGGACAUGUGGAGUAGGACACACGUGGAAAGAAGGAAUUUAACAGAGAUGUGCACCACAGCCUGAGAUGCUGAAUGUCAAGGCCAAAAACACAAACCAGAUGCAAGAGUACUGGGUUUAGGAGGCAGAGAACGAGGCGAGAGUGGGAGUAAGAAUAUGGGAUGAUGGAGGACUGAACUGAGAGCAGGUGAACACAGCUGUGGACCGCCGCCGGCUCUCUUCUUCCUCUCCUCCCUCUCUUUUUCCUCUUCUCAUGAGGCUCCGGCUCUGUGUCUCGGAGUCUCAGGGAGACAGCAGGGGCUGGCCAGGCUUCACCGGAGUGGGCAGCAGAGGCGGGCAGUUGCACCCACUGGGCACAUGCUCCUCAGCAGAGCAAUCAAUAUGGAGAGAAGAGGCUGCCAGGGGUCAGGCGACGCAGCCCCGGGCCAUGGUGCCAAGGGAUCACCAGCGCUCAUCUCUCCCUUUACCAGUCAACUUGCAUCAGCCAAAGGCAGACCAUGUGUGAGAGCAAAUGUGUGUGUGUGUGUGUGUGGUUCUGCCGGAGGGACCUUCAGUCCCAACACCACUUGAUAAAACUUUGUCUGCAGGAGAAUGAACAGAAAAAGAGAGUCAAAGGUCUUUUUCCCUCUCCUCAAUUCCUUUUCUACUGUGAAUGCACAUUCCCAGUGACUGUUUGAAUGAGGGCUUGACGUACAAUCCCUCUUACAGGCCCUCCUCUAUGCCUCUACAUCAGAUGAGCUGGCAAGAGAGGACAACUUGAACUUUUGUCUUUUUUGGACGACAUUUUUUUUUUUUUUUGCCUUUUCUGUUGUAGAUUAAAUUAGAUGUUUUUUUUUUCAAAUCCUCACUACUGUUUGAGAGCUUCUGAAAGAGCUUUGGUUUUAAUCUGCAAGGUUUGGCACUCCUGUCGACAUACUUCAAUACAGCUGAACCUUCACAGCACCAGGUUUUAAUAAGAUGAAAAUCAGAGGGAGUGAAAAGCAGAGGAGACUGAGCUCCAAAACUAGGACCAAAAUACUCAAUAAACUUUCACAGUAUUUGUCAGACAUUUUUUCAAACCUUUUACUGAUCCUGAGCUGAUUUUCUGAUAAGGAAAGCUCCAUUUCAUUCAAUGAGACACAAUGAGCGAAGGUGAAAGGAGUGCUUUUGUUGCUAAAAGUGGUGCCAUGUUCUCAUGGAUUCUGUAAAGAAAGAAGUUUACUAGGAGAUGAUGGAGUGUAAUCCUCUGAAACGGAGAUCUGUGUUCUGUUCUGAGCAACUCUCAGUGAUCUAUAGCCCUGAUAACACCAAUGAAAUUUUACUGUCAAAGAAUUUUGCAUUUGCUUUCAUACUGGUGAGUAUUUAAAUAAGGUAAGUUUCCAAUCAUAAUGGUAUAAAUAGAAAAGACAUUGGCCUUGCAUACAUAUUAAUGCUAAAUAGAUCAUUUCAAUUUUUUUUUUUAAAUCAACCUUGGGCUGCAGGUUAGUCAGUGGAAAAAAUAUUCCUAUGUUGUAUUUUUUUUCAGUCGCAGAAAGUUGACAAGUGGGUUUUAUUUUUUUCCCUCAUAGGAUUGUAUUGCCUUUAACCAGUAUAUUUCCAUUUGUACACAUAAUAAAGUACUACAUAUUUUAUGAUGAUGAUAUUGAAGCAUACGAAAAAAGCUAAAUCUGUUUAUACAAAUCAUGACAUCUGUAUUGUCAUAUGUUAAUUUUAGAAUAUUCUUGGCUUCUAUGGUUACCAUAAUAUUCUUUUGUCUCCUGUUUGAUCUCUGAUAUUCUUUGAAGUUGUAUGUUAUUGUCUGA